UCUGGAAGCCAUUCCUACAGGAAAGGGACCAAAUGUUUUCCGCAAGGACUUCAACAUCAGAAAACACGUGCUUCCCACGGCCAACAUAAAUCCUGGCUAAUUUCCUAAAAGUAGAGCUGCUACAUCAAAAGCUAAGCAUCAUUUUCCUUCCUAAGAAGGAAAAAAACUAAGUUACAGUCUGAAGGGAGGGAGACAAGUGAGAACUGAGUGACGAGCUUUGAAAGACGUGGAAGCUGGUCACAGUGGCCGUCCUGCAUCGAGGCAGGGACUACUUACUCCGUGGAGCUUCAUGUACAAGCCGCAGGCGUUGCACACGGGCUCGCCCUCCGCGUUGCGGCGCCACAGCGUGGUGGUGGUAGUCUGGCAGUUGGCGCAGGACAGGCCCACCCGGCGGGAAGCGGACUGCAACACAGGAGACAGACCCUUCAAGUCCAAGUACACAUGAAAGCCAGUCAUAUUGGUAGUAAAAAAAUCAACUUGCAGUAAGAAAAGAGCAUGGAACUAAGAACCAAACGACUCAGUUCCAAACGCUUUCUCAACCACGGGGCCCAGUACACACUGUUUAACCUCCCUGGGUUUGGGGCUGGUCAACUGAAAACAGGGGACAGAAUCUCACUGAAGAAGCUGCUGGGGCAACCCUAGACCUUGUGCUGUUUUGAGAAGCCAACACAAAGAACACACCUUAACCAAGUUGGGGAUUUGAGUGGCAGAAACUUCUUGUCUUGGGUAGAAAGUGCAGAAGUCCAACCAGAU